GCGGGGGUGCCCGAGCCUGGUCAAAGGGGGCGGACUUAAGACCCCCAAGUAAGAGAUCCGCUGGCGAAGGCCUGCACGGGUUCAAAUCCCGUCCCCCGCA
rfam:Sulfolobus solfataricus P2, complete genome.